GCGGGUGUGGCUGAGUGGCUAGGCAGCGGCCUGCAAAGCCGUCUACACGGGUUCGAGUCCCGUCACUCGCUCGA
rnacentral:tRNA from 2 species